UACGUAGGUGGCAAGCGUUGUCCGGAUUUACUGGGCGUAAAGAGCGCGCAGGCGGCUGGUCAAGUCCGAUGUGAAAUCCCCAGGCUUAACCUGAGAACUGCAUCCGAUACUGGAUGGCUUGAAUCCGGGAGAGGGAUGCAGAAUUCCAGGUGUAGCGGUGAAAUGCGUAGAUAUCUGGAGGAAUACCGGUGGCGAAGGCGGCAUCCUGGACCGGCAUUGACGCUGAGGAGCGAAAGCUAGGGGAGCAAACAGG
rnacentral:rRNA from 1 species